CAGUCGCCACGGGAAUACGUAGGUGGCAAGCGUUAUCCGGAAUUAUUGGGCGUAAAGCGCGCGUAGGCGGUUUUUAAGUCUGAUGUGAAAGCCCACGGCUCAACCGUGGAGGGUCAUUGGAAACUGGAAAACUUGAGUGCAGAAGAGGAAAGUGGAAUUCCAUGUGUAGCGGUGAAAUGCGCAGAGAUAUGGAGGAACACCAGUGGCGAAGGCGACUUUCUGGUCUGUAACUGACGCUGAUGUGCGAAAGCGUGGGGAUCAAACAGGAUUAGAGACCCCGGUAGUCCCUGUCUCUUAUACA
rnacentral:rRNA from 1 species